CUACGGGCGGCACCAGUGGGGAAUAUUGGACAAUGGGGGCAACCCUGAUCCAGCCAUGCCGCGUGUGUGAAGAAGGCCUUCGGGUUGUAAAGCACUUUCAGUGGGGAGGAAAGGUUAGUAGUUAAUACCUGCUAGCUGUGACGUUACCCACAGAAGAAGCACCGGCUAACGCCGUGCCAGCAGCCGCGGUAAUACGGAGGGUGCAAGCGUUAAUCGGAAUUACUGGGCGUAAAGCGCGCGUAGGUGGUUUGUUAAGCGAGAUGUGAAAGCCCUGGGCUCAACCUAGGAACCGCAUUUCGAACUGACAGGCUAGAGUACAGCAGAGGAUAGUGGAAUUUCCGGUGUAGCGGUGAAAUGCGUAGAGAUUGGAAGGAACACCAGUGGCGAAGGCGACUGUCCGGGCUGAUACUGACACAGAGGUGCGAAAGCGUGGGGAGCAAACAGGAUUAGAUACCCUAGUAGUC
rnacentral:rRNA from 1 species